rnacentral:misc_RNA from 1 species
AACGCACAUUGCGCCCGCUAGUAUUCUAGCGGGCAUGCCUGUUCGAGCGUCAUUUCAACCCUCGGGCCCCGUCUUCUCGGACGGAUGGCCCGGCGUUGGGGAUCGGCCGCCCUCGAGGCGCCGCCGGCCCCUAAAUAUAGUGGCGGUCUCGCUGUAGCCUCCUCUGCGUAGUAGCACAACCUCGCACCGGAACGCAGCGCGGCCACGCCGUAAAACACACCACUUAUGAAAGGUUGACCUCGGAUCAGGUAGGAAUACCCGCUGAACUUAA